rnacentral:rRNA from 1 species
UUAGAGUUUGAUCCUGGCUCAGAAUAAACGUUGGCGGUGCGCCUAACACAUGCAAGUCGAGCGAGAAAGGUCUUCGGACUGAGUACAGCGGCAGACGGGUGAGUAACGCGUGGGAAUCUACCCUUUAGUGAAGAAUACCUUCGAGAAAUUGGAGUUAAUGCUGCAUACGUCCCUUCGGGGAGAAAGAUGGCCUCUUUGCUGUCGCUAGAGGAUGAGCCUGCGUACUAUUAGCUAGUUGGUAGGGUAAUGGCCUACCAAGGCGAUGAUGGUUAGCCGGCCUGAGAGGGUGAACGGCCACAUUGGAACUGAGAUACGGUCCAGACUCCUACGGGAGGCAGCAGUGAGGAAUAUUGCGCAAUGGGCGCAAGCCUGACGCAGCGACACCGCGUGAAGGAUGAAGGCUUUCGGGUCGUAAACUUCUGUUAAGUGGGAAGAAAAAGCUGGUCCUAAUAUGACCAGAAAAUGACGGUACCACUAGAGAAAGCACCGGCUAACUUCGUGCCAGCAGCCGCGGUAAGACGAGGGGUGCAAACGUUAUUCGGAAUGAUUGGGUGUAAAGGGUGCGUAGGCGGUAUGUUAAGUCAAUCGUUAAAUUUUUCGGCUUAACUGAAAGUCAGCGGUAGAAACUGGCGUACUUGAGGAUGGAAGAGAGAAGUAGAAUUCUCGGAGUAGCGGUAAAAUGCGUAGAUCUCGAGAGGAAUACCAAUGGCGAAGGCAGCUUCUUGGUCCAUAUCUGACGCUGAGGCACGAAAGCGUGGGGAGCAAACAGGAUUAGAUACCCUGGUAGUCCACGCUGUAAACGAUGAUCACUAGACGUUAGUCGCGCUUGCGUGAUUAGUGUUGCAGCUAACGCGAUAAGUGAUCCACCUGGGGAGUACGGUCGCAAGAUUAAAACUCAAAGGAAUUGACGGGGGUCCGCACAAGCGGUGGAACAUGUGGUUUAAUUCGACACUACGCGAGGACCCUUACCUAGGCUUGACAUGCUUAUGACCGCCCUAGAAACAGGGUUUUUCAAGCGAAAGCUUGAACAUUUGCACAGAUGCUGCAUGGCUGUCGUCAGCUCGUGUCGUGAGAUGUUGGGUUAAGUCCUUUAACGAGCGCAACUCCUGUUGCCAGUUGCAACCCCGUGAGGGGGCACUCUGGUGAGACUGCCUGGGAAACCAGGAGGAAGGUGGGAAUGACGUCAAGUCCUCAUGGCUCUUACGCCUAGGGCAACACACGUGUUACAAUGGCUGGUACAAAGGGCUGCAAUCUCGUAAGAGGGAGCUAAUCCUCAAAGCCAGUCUAAGUUCGGAUUGAGGUCUGCAACUCGACCUCAUGAAGCUGAAAUCGCUAGUAAUCGCAUAUCAGAAUGAUGCGGUGAAUACGUUCUCGGACCUUGUACACACCGCCCGUCACGCCACGAAAGUUGUCUGUACCCGAAAUCGUCUUAGCUAACCUUACGGAGGCGGAUGCCUAAGGUAUGGGGAAUGAUUGGGGUGAAGUCGUAACAAGGUAACC